CCUACGGGUGGCAGCAGUGAGGAAUAUUGGUCAAUGGGCGAGAGCCUGAACCAGCCAAGUCGCGUGAGGGAGUACUGCCCUAUGGGUUGUAAACCUCUUUUGUCGGGGAGCAAAAGUCGGACGUGUCCGGCUGUGAGAGUACCCGAAGAAAAAGCAUCGGCUAACUCCGUGCCAGCAGCCGCGGUAAUACGGAGGAUGCGAGCGUUAUCCGGAUUUAUUGGGUUAAAAGGGUGCGCAGGCGGAUUUUUAAGUCAGCGGUAAAAUCGUGGGGCUCAACCCCAUCCAGCCGUUGAAACUGGGGAUCUAGAGUGUGCGAGAGGUAUGCGGAAUGCGUGGUGUAGCGGUGAAAUGCAUAGAUAUCACGCAGAACCCCGAUUGCGAAGGCAGCAUACCGGUGCACAACUGACGCUCAGGCACGAAAGCGUGGGUAUCGAACAGGAUUAGAUACCCUUGUAGUC
rnacentral:rRNA from 1 species